UACGACUACAUAUCAGGCAUAUCAAUAAGCGGAGGAAAAGAAACUAACAAGGAUUCCCUUAGUAACGGCGAGUGAAGCGGGAAGAGCUCAAAUUUGAAAUCUUCAAGGUUCUACCUUGACGAAUUGUAGUUUAAAGAAGUGUUUUCUGUUAGAUGAGUAGCAAAAGUUCCUUGGAAUGGGACAUCAUAGAGGGGUGAGAAUCCCGUAUUUGGUUAUUCAUUCUAGCUUUGUGAUACACUUUCAAAGAGUCGGAUUGUUUGGGAAUGCAGUCCAAAAUGGGUGGUAAAUUUCAUCUAAAGCUAAAUAUUGGCGAGAGACCGACAGCGAACAAGUACCGUGAGGGAAAGAUGAAAAGAACUUUGAAAAGAGAGUUAAACAGUACGUGAAAUUGUCAAAAGGGAAGCGUUUGACACCAGUGUUGUUUAGUUGAAAAUCAAUUCAAUAGUUUUUGAUUCUAAGUAGUAUUGACUUCAUCAGCUUGCUGCUUUCUUCUCAGAAAUUAUUGAAUGCACUUUUCAGUUAACAAGUCAACAUCAAUUUCUUUUGUUGUAAAAGGGUAAGAGGAAGGUGGCUUACGCUUCGGCGUCAAGUGUUUAUAGCCUUUUAUCUCUGCAAUCGGAGAGAUUGAGGUCUGCAGCGUAGAUCCUUCGGGGUUAGAUACAUUGGUGCUAAGCUAUAGCCUUGUAUAGACAACUUGUUGACUAUGCUCAGUCAUGUAGCUUACUCGCUGAUGCUAUUUUACCUACGCUUAGGAUGUUGAGUAGCGACAUACGCAC
rnacentral:rRNA from 1 species